CGCAGCGCGGCAUGUAGCUGUGGGCUCCCGCGCCCGCGCGAGGGUGUCGGCCCGGGGCCCCGCCAUGGCGGGGAAGGACAGUGGCAACCUGAAGACCGUGAGGCUGUGGCGGGACGCCGCCCUGCGCGCCAGGAAGCUGCGGAGCAACCUGCGCCAGCUCACCCUUAGCGCGGCCGGGGGCUGCCCCGGGGCCGGAGUCGACCCGCUCGAGUCCCCCGACUCUCCUCAGCUAGUGCUGCCGGCCAACAUCGGGGACAUUGAGGUGCUGAACCUGGGGAACAACGGCCUGGAGGAGGUGCCCGACGGGCUGGGGUCGGCGCUGGGCAGCCUGCGCGUCCUGGUCCUGCGCAGGAACCGCUUCGCCCGGCUGCCCCCCGCGGUGGCCGAGCUCGGCCACCACCUCACCGAGUUGGACGUGAGCCACAACCGGCUGACCACCCUGGGCUCGGAGGUGGUGAGUGCCCUGAGGGAGCUGCGCAAGCUCAACCUCAGCCACAACCAGCUGCCCGCCCUGCCCACCCAGCUGGGCACCCUGGCCCAGCUGGAGGAGCUGGACGUCAGUUUUAACCGGCUGGCGCACCUGCCGGACUCCUUCUCUUGCCUGUCCCGCCUGCGCACCCUCGACGUGGACCACAACCAGCUCACCGCCUUUCCUCGGCAGCUGCUGCAGCUGGCGUCCCUGGAGGAGCUGGACGUGUCCAGCAACCGGCUGCAGGGCCUACCUGAGGAUAUCAGUGCCCUGCGUGCCCUCAAGAUACUCUGGCUGAGCGGGGCCGAGCUUGGCACACUGCCCGCCGGCUUCUGCGAGCUGGCCAGUUUGGAGAGCCUCAUGCUGGACAACAACGGGCUGCAGGCUCUGCCCGCCCAGUUCAGCCGCCUGCAGCGGCUCAAAAUGCUGAAUCUGUCCUCCAACCUCCUCGAGGAGUUCCCUGCCGCGCUGCUGCCCCUGGCUGGCCUGGAGGAGCUUUACCUUAGUCGCAACCAGCUCACCUCGGUGCCGUCCCUCAUCGCCGGCCUGAGCCGGCUUCUCACCCUGUGGCUGGACAACAACCGCAUCCGCUACCUGCCUGACUCCAUCGUGGAGCUGACUGGCCUAGAGGAGCUGGUGCUACAAGGUAACCAGAUCGCAGUUCUGCCUGACAACUUCGGCCAGCUCUCCCGGGUGGGGCUGUGGAAGAUCAAGGACAACCCUCUCAUCCAGCCCCCCUACGAGGUCUGUAUGAAGGGGAUCCCGUACAUCGCAGCCUACCAGAAGGAGCUGGCCCACUCCCAGCCGGCAGUGCAGCCCCGCCUCAAGCUGCUCCUGAUGGGCCACAAGGCUGCAGGGAAGACCUUGCUCCGCCAUUGCCUCACGGAGCACAGAGUGGAGGGAAGCCAAGGAGGAGGGGACAAGGACAGGAGCUACCGACCUUCGGCGCCCCCCGUGAGCAAAGGCAUUGAGGUGACCAGCUGGACAGCCGAUGCUUCCCGGGGCCUGCGCUUCGUAGUGUACGACUUAGCUGGCGAUGAAAGUUACGAGGUCAUCCAGCCCUUCUUCCUCUCCCCAGGGGCCCUGUACGUGCUGGUGGUCAACUUGGCCACCUAUGAGCCGCGCUGCUUUCCCUCCACCGUGGGCUCCUUCUUGCGUCGCAUGGGGGCGAGGGUGCCCCACGCCGUGGUGUGCAUCGUGGGCACGCACGCAGACCUGUGCGGGGAGCGCGAGCUGGAGGAGAAGUGUCUGGACAUUCACCGCCAGAUCGCCCUGCAGGAGAAGCACGAUGCAGAGGGGCUGAGCCGCCUCGCCCAGGUGGUGGACGAGGCGCUGGCCCGGGACUUUGAGCUACGCUGCGCCAGUCCCCACGCGGCCUACUAUGGCGUUUCUGACAAGAACCUUAGGCGGCGCAAGGCCCAUUUUCAGUACCUGCUCAACCACAGGCUGCAAAUCCUCUCCCCUGUGCUGCCUGUUAGCUGCAAGGAUCCCCGCCAGCUGCAGCGCCUUCGGGACAAGCUGCUGUCCGUAGCUGAGCACCGAGAGAUCUUCCCCAACUUGCAUAGGGUCCUGCCUCGAUCCUGGCAGGUGUUGGAAGAACUGCACUUCCAGCCUCCUCAGGCACAGCGACUUUGGCUAAGCUGGUGGGACUCUGCGCGCCUGGGCCUGCAGGCGGGUCUGACCGAGGACCGGCUUCAGAGCGCCCUCUCCUACCUGCAUGAGAGCGGCAAGCUGCUUUACUUUGAGGACAGCCCGGCCCUCAAGGAGCACGUCUUCCACAACCUCACCCGCCUCAUCGACAUCCUCAAUGUCUUUUUCCAGAGGGACGGUUCCUUGCUGCUGCAUAAGCUGCUCCUAGGGACCAGUGGGGAGGCGGAGGCAGAGGAGGAAAGGUCGGCCACCGUGGCGCUGCCGGCCCCUGCUCAGGACCUGCUCCGGGCCACCCAGCUCCAUCACUAUGUGGAGGGCUUUCUGCUGCACGGGCUCUUGCCGGCCCAUGUCAUUCGGUUGCUGCUUAAGCCUCACGUCCAGGCACCGCAGGACUUGCAGCUGCUGCUGGAACUGCUGGAAAAGAUGGGCCUCUGUUACUGCCUCAAUAAACCCAAGGGCAAGCCUUUGAAUGGGUCCACCGCCUGGUACAAAUUCCCUUGCUAUGUGCAGAACGAGGUGCCCCACGCAGAGGCCUGGAUCAACGGGACCAACCUGGCCGGGCAGUCAUUUGUGGCUGAGCAGUUGCAGAUUGAAUACAGCUUUCCCUUUACCUUCCCGCCUGGGUUGUUUGCCCGCUAUAGUGUCCAGAUCAACAGCCACGUGGUGCACAGGUCGGAUGGUAAAUUUCAGAUCUUUGCAUACAGAGGGAAAGUUCCUGUGGUAGUGAGUUACAGACCUGCCAAGGGGGUCCUGCAACCAGACACCCUGUCCAUUGCCAGCCAUGCUUCCCUACCAAAUAUAUGGACCGCGUGGCAAGCCAUAACCCCUUUGGUGGAGGAACUGAAUGUCCUGCUUCAGGAAUGGCCUGGACUGCACUACACUGUGCACAUUCUCUGUUCUAAGUGCCUUAAGAGAGGGUCCCCUAAUCCCCACGCUUUCCCAGGGGAGUUGCUGAGUCAGCCCAGACCGGAGGGAGUGGCAGAGAUCAUUUGCCCCAAGAACGGCAGCGAGCGAGUGAACGUUGCCUUGGUUUACCCGCCUACGCCAACUGUGAUCAGCCCCUGUUCCAAGUAUCUUCAUACUUUCUUGGAAAAUUAAGUGGAAAAGAUAGUGCAUCUUUUCCUUAUGCCAUCAUUUUUACUGUACCCAAACUGUGACUUUAGGAGCACCAGUUUUUAAGGGAAGAACGUUGGUGAAAAGCAUAGAAACCAGUGACUUUCACGGCUGUGGAAUUUCCGUGGAGAGCAAAGAGCAUCCGAACUCACCUGGGAUUGUCUUUUGUACCCAGGGAGCCCUCUGCACCCAGCGUGUUCUGUGAACUCGAGUGACUAAGCAUUCAGGGUGCUUUCCGAGGUGGGGAGCGGGCAGGCCGGGGGGGCGGGGCGGGGGAGGAUGGGCGAGAAAAUGGAGCAAAUGUUUUACAACCUGAACCUCAGAACUGUGAUCCUCCAAGGAGAGCGCUACUUGAAGAAAAGAAACAAACAAAAAGUCGAAUGGCUUCUCAGGGAUUUUGUUUUCCAUGCACAUUCUAAGCCAUAGUUCCAGGACAGGUGGCAGUAUUUAGAGCACUCAGAUUUUAGUUGUGUUAAAUGUGAAAGAGGGAUCGACUGACGUUCAUUGCUGUUCCGUAACGAGUGUAAAAUAUGUAUAUGUUUAUCUUUAUUUUUAUAAUAUGCAAAUACAUUUAAAUUUAUACAGUUUGGAGCUUCUAGCGUUAGUGAACACUGGGUGCAAUAUUCUGCAUGAGAACUGUGCCAACUUAUUUUAGCAUAAGCCUUUUUUGGUUAUUUUUUUUUUCUUCCUUCUUUUAUCUUUCUCAGAUUAAAGAAAAUCUAUUAGCUCAUGGAUUAAGUAUUGGUUCAUAGAGAUUGCCAGUAAUCAGCAAGACCCUUAAAUAUGUAUUUCAGAGAGUGUCCCGUUCCUUUUCAAUAAAGGGCCCGGCUUAUAAAUCGCCUAUAUAAUCACGGCGGGGGUUAUGCCCUUUUCUUCCCCACAUAUCACUAGUGCUAGGCAGAGAUGGGGCACUCUUAGGGGCCAAAGGGGACAGAGAGUCCAUGAAAAACCUUCAUCAUUUAAUAGCUCAAGAUAAUCAGGAUUCAGUUCUGAAUCGUGCAAAGAACUCUACCACUAAGUACCUUGUUUUCCUAGAACAGUCUGUGAAAUUCAGCAGAGCCCUUUGCAGUCUCUCCACACACAUCUGGCUGUCAGGCCUUCAGAUAGUGACCUUUCUAAUUGGAGAGCACCAUCCCACGUUGGUUACUUAUAAAUACAGAGCCUCUGAUUGGACAGUCUGCUGCUGAGAACUUGUAAAACCCUUGCUUUAAAAUCUCCAUGAAGUCAAAUGUAAAGCAAAUGCAAAAGAAUUGCUCUCUUUUCUCCCCCUGACGGGGGCCAGACUGCCUGUGCUGUGAUAGAGACAAGGGAGGGGAUUCUGUUGACAUCUGCCUCCUCCGGGUGUUGGUUGGAAAAUGUGUAAAGAGAACUGAUUCUCUCCAGGGUCACACAAGACACGUGAGUCAGCUGGGGUUACCCUUCUGCUUCUUUGAUAAAGUAGUGACUCUUGGUAGGCUACAGUAGGCAAAGCCUCAACAGAUUUUUUUUUCAACAGAAAUAACAAGCCAGCACCUGCCUUGGGAGAAAUCAUGAGUUGAUCUCCGUAGGGCAUUUCUUGCCCCAGCAGGUGACUUUCCUGACCCCAGAGCCUAUAAUGAAAGAAGUAGGAUUUCCGAUGAUCAUAAAACCGAAUGGGAGCAGACUGUUUUUGCAUUUUCAAGUACUUGAAGGGGACAGCUCAAGUUGGAGAUUUCGUUUUCUUUAGAACACAGUCACAAGAUGAAUCUGGCUAAUCCCUUUGUCACAGUUCUCUUAUGUACGUGUGUGCGAGAGUGUGUGUGCGCGCCUGCGUGGAAGUGUAAAACUGAAUGGUAACUUUUAAUUGCUUUUUGGACCAUUGAAUUGUUGGGCAGUAAGAGUUUUUACAUUGGCCCAAGACAGUUUCUAAACUGUCCUAUGAACCAACUUUAACCAGUCUUGAGAACAAGACUCUUGAAGUGUGUGACUUUGGGCUACCUCCCCAAGGGACCAUAUUAAAUGAAAAACAAAACAAAACAAGAACAAAAAAAACAGGCUCCUUUGGGUGACAUACCCUGCACAGUGUUUGCUAUUAAUCAUGAGCAUCGAUGCCCACAUUCUUAAUAUCUAAUAUUAUUUGACAAGUGAUGUUUCGUGCUGUCAUCGGAACCCGAGAGAAGCAGUGGAAGAAGAAACUUGGUGUCACGUGUGUUUUAGCAAAAGGGUCCACAUGAUAGAGAAUCAAGUGACCGAAAGAAGCUCCAGAGAAGCUUGAGAACUUGCUUCAGGGUGGGGGAGGGUUGGAGACACAGAAAACAUUUUGCUCUACAAGGAAUUUUCAGCUGCCUGUGCAGGAAAUUCCAUGUUCUCUUUCAACACCUGGGAAGGCUCAGCGACCAGCCAAGACUGACAAGUAAUUCACUAAGCACAAGAGGAAUCUUUUUUUCCAACCGAGGAGUCCCUUACCUCUCAAUGAAAUGCCCUCCGAGUUUGUUAUGGCUUCUAUUCCUGCAACUGGUGGUAUCAGAACCACUUCCUGGAAUUGUAAAAGCAUUGCCAGAAUAAAUGGUUUCCCUCUUCUAAGAAAAAAAAAAAAAUGACAGUGCUCAGAUUUGACACGUGUGCAUUAAUUAGACUCCCUUUUGAAUGAAUAAAAAGGAAAGGGUUUGGUGUAAUUCCUGAUGGGGUGUGUGUUGUUUUUCAUGCCACGGUUUGUGGAUUGUAAUUGUGGUUUCUCAUUUCAUUGUCGUAACUGGGCAGAAAUUUUAAAAAAUAAAAUUCAAUAAAAAUGUAAAGAAAUGGUUA